ACUACGCUCGAAUAACAUGUUAUUCACCGUUUUGGUGAUAUUCACCCAAUAACAUGUUUUUCAACGUGUUAUUCCCAUACAUUUUUGACAGCCGAAUAUCACCUUCCUGAACAUGUUAUUCGCGAAUAACAUGAUACAACUGCUCGAAUUUGCUGCUCGAAUGUCAAAUUUCUGGCAACCCUGCGGAAAUUUGACAGAAAUGUCGUUUGGAAAGUUUGUUUUUGUUGUUGUUUUCCUUGACCGAAAAGGAAUCAGGAAGAUUGUGCUCCAAAAGUAGAAAUUUUUUGCAAAACUCUUCCGCGGUGGUUAUUCCGCAAAAUCGGAAAGAGCCGGUGAUGGACCCGCAAAUAUUGCGUCGGAAUAAAGGAAGCUCUAGUGGUGGCCGCAACGGAAGGGCUGUGAGUGUGGAAAAUUGCAAUGGGAAAGAAGGAAAUACUGAUAGAUCUGACCCGGAUAGCACGAUGAUGGACUGUCACACAUCGCGACACGGCCAUCAGCAGAACACCGCAAUUGCCGGAGGAACUUCUUCUAGAACCACGUCUAGAACCCACAUUUCAGCUCCAAACACUUUUCCGCACAGCAACAGAGCGCUGCGAUAAUGUUCUCCUGCGACUUGAGUUCACACAAAGUAUAUCAGCAGUCAGCACCCAGAUAGAGUUCCAAACACCAUUUUCGGCAUCUCCGUCUUCAAGAGCGGAAUGUUUGGUGAAAUUAGCAGCCAUAUGAGGGAGGCCUUCCGUGACGGUGACGCUUGCCUGUGACCAGAAGAUUUCCAAGCAGUCAAAUAAUAGGUGGAAUAUGAGUUUGCUAUCCGGAAGAUGUCCACCUAUCUAACUACCCAGUAAUCGUAGUUAUGUGUGUAUGUGUAGUUUAAAAAAUGUUCACUUCUAUCACAUGCCACAAAUAAGUGUAAUAUGAAGAAAAAACGUAAUGCACCAAGCAGAAUUCCAAAUAAAUAUUUUCAUUUUCUAUGA